rnacentral:tRNA from 1 species
GGAAAGGUGGCCGAGCGGUUGAAGGCACAUGUCUCGAAAACAUGCAUACCCUCCGGGUAUCGGGGGUUCGAAUCCCCCCCUUUCCGCCA